rnacentral:lncRNA from 1 species
CUUGAACUCUUUUGCGGGAACGGGAAGUCGGUUGGGUACAGGAGCGUUGGAUUGUUUACAAAAGCCGGUUCAAUCAAAAUUGCAGUUUUUCCCAAUGAGGCCCAAAAAGGACAAAGGAGCCAAAGGCUUUAAACAAGGAGAGAGUCAGAAAGCUUCGUCUGAUGAUACGAUGGAGCUCACCAACCUGUCUUCUAUAGACAAAGCUAGCUUCAUGGAGGGACUGCAGCUAAAUUACGGUAACCCUCUGCACAGUACUGCCAUGGAAGAAGACUUGGAGGAAAGACAGGUGGACAAAGACGGAGCAGGAAAACAUACAGUCAAGCCCACCAGUAAACAGCAGCGGGGAGCUGCUGUGAAGAGGAAGAAGACAGAGGAGAGUGGGGAGAGUGGGAAGGAAGAGAAGAGGAAGAAGCGGAGUACGAUGAGUACUGGAAACACUGUCAGCCAACCUGGGAAGAUGUCUGCCAAGAAGAGUAGUGCUGGACAGAAAUCUACAGCUAACCCAGUGAAAAAUCAGCCACUAAGGAAGAGAGAGAGUGAACCAGCAAAUGUGGACUCCGGGGAAAGUGAGCUGGAGGUAAGCGAAGUGGAAGAUAAUGACUGAAACAAGGAAAAGAACCAUUUCUGGAACUAUUCACGUUGAGACUUUUCACAUG